CAUUAGUCCAGCAGAUAUCUGCUAUGAGGAGACAUUGUCUACACUCAGAUACGCAGAGAGGUUAUGUAUCCAUAAAUACCCUGCUCCCCUUUGUAUAUGUUUCUUGCAAAACUGUAGAUAUACAAUACUGGCUCUAAAUAUGAAUAUAAAAACUGUAUGGAAAGUUGUUGAGUGAGAAAGAUAAGGGAUUGAAUAUUACAUAAAAACGGUGCCUGUAAUAAAUUAAUUAUCCAUAUGAGAUAAAUAUGUGUCCUUGUGAGAUUUAUUGAUUGUUAAGUAAUACUCCACUAAAUGCAAUAGACCCACUGAACUGUAGUUCAAUCAAUCUAAUGUGCAUUUAAUGUGAGGCAGCAUAGUAAACCCUGCGGAUCGCUGCUGCCCCCCAACCCUUUAUACUUGCCCUCUGCAGCAAUCCGGAUCNNNNNNNNNNNNNNNNNNNNNNNNNNNNNNNNNNNNNNNNNNNNNNNNNNNNNNNNNNNNNNNNNNNNNNNNNNNNNNNNNNNNNNNNNNNNNNNNNNNNAGAGGGACUGCCUGACAAGCUGAGCAGUCCCCCUGCAACAAAUCCAGACUUUCCGGGCCAUGUGAUCAAGAUGACUGCGAGUUUACAUGGUCUGAAUGGCAAUCUAAAGCACUGCCUGCAUGGGGUACUGCCUGGGGAAAGUUCAGAGUCUCCAUGCUAUGCUGAACGUCAGUGCUGCACAGUGUUCAACACUGAUCAGGAAUGCAGUAUAUAUGCAGAGGCGGCUCUCUAAUUAGGUGAUUUAGCAGGCCGCCUAAGGCCUCACGCUUGCUGGGGCCUCGCGCCUUAGGCAGACUGACGUGGAGUCCUCGGCCAGAGACCGAGGGCACGACACAGGAGGGGACCCGGCGGCUUGCUCUGUAUACUGCCGGGUGCAAGCACCCCACACCGCGUGCCCUGACGGAUAGGCAGCCUCCUGUAUGCAGCUCCGCCAGGCGAGCUGCCGACUGAGGGGUCCCGCAAUCUCCAGCCAAUAAGAGUGUCGCCACAGGUUUCCACGGCAACGCUCUUACUGGAGAUCGGAGGCUUACCACGUGGUCUGUAGCUCUGCACUUGGCUGAGCUGCAGACCGGAAAGCAACCCACCGGACCACCAGGUAUUUCACUUUUCACAACCCCCUACCCACAUUACAUCCUCCUACCCAUCUCACAGCCCCCCACCAACCUUACAGCCCCCCUACCUACCUUACAGACCCCUACCCAUUUUACAGCCUUAUACACACACAAUGAACACCUAUUUAUUUUCACUUUGGGUGUUAGUGGGACCUCAUGUUUGAGUUUCAUCUAAGGCCUCACAAAGUCUAGAGCAGCCACUGUAUGUAUGAUUUCACUGAUGUACUCGUGAGACAUUGCAGAAAACAAAUAUGAGUGGUUUAGAGCAGUAAAACAUAUAGUGACAAUGAUGUCAUCAGUGAAAGGGCAGUUGUAUUGUAAAAAAUGCAAAAAACAGAUAUUGACACUAACUAUGACCAGGGUUUGCAACUAGGUGGCCACUAAAAAAGACUGGACAUACCCCGUUUUGAAUACCUUGGGUUGUCUACUUUUGCAAAUGAUAUGCCAUGAUGGGGUUAAUUUUCAUUCCUGGGCUGCCAUACAGUCUCAAUGGCAAUAUAGGCCCAGCAUACAAGUAUGCAAAUUGUAAUAUGUAAAAACUGAAAAGGGGAAAAGCCCUAUAUUUUACUUUUUGACUUUCACUGAGCGCAAUGAGCACUUCUUCUCAGACCAGGUACCAUGGUCUGCUCAGCCACAUUACAUGGAGGUGAGAUGGUACAAGAGGGGAGGAGGAUGGGGGAAAGACACAUGGAGGGGCUUGGAGAAUGAGAAAUAUGGAGGCGCUGCGGAGGGAGACUGAGGCACAUGAAAGGGCUGUGGAGGGAGAGUGAGACACAUUGUGGGGGUUGAGACACAUGCAGGAGCUAGAAGGGGGAGAAUGAGACAUGUAGUAGUUGGAGGGGAUGAGACACAUGGAGAAGCUGGGGAGGGAGAAAGAGACACAUGGAGGGGAUGAGACACAUGGAGGAGCGUGGGGGAGAAUGAGACACAUGACGCGCUGGGGGAAUGAGACACAUGAAGGAGCUGGGGGAGCACGUGACAAAUGGAGGAGCUGGGGAGGAUUAGGCACAUGGGUGUAUGAGACACAUAGAAAAACUGGAAUGGGGAGAAUUAGACACAUGGAGAAGCUGGGGAUGCAUGAGCUGCAUACUGGGGUUAGGGGGGUGCAAUGAAACACAUAGAAGGGCUGGGGGGGAUGAGACACAUGAAGGGAUUGAUGGGGAUGAGAACCAUGGAGGGGUUGAUGGGGAUGAGAAACAUGGAGAGGCUGGUGGAGGAUGACACAUGGAAGGGCUGGGGGGAAUGAGACACAUGGAGAGGCUGCGGGGGUUAAAUGAGACACAUAGGGGAGAAUCAGACACAACCGGGGCCCUGUGAUUUCUAGUUACUCCUCCGUUUUACUCAUUUCAAUCUAAUCGGUCAAUCAUCAGAAAGACGAAUGAAUGCAUAGAAAUAACAAAGAACGGAUGAUUACCGAAUUUCAAUUCUAUCUUCGUUUUUUUUUUAAAUGUAUUACAAGUAGGGAGCUGUUAUACCCGCUACUUCCUUCUCCCCCACCCCCCCUCCCCAUGUUCCCCAUCAUUCUAUGAGAUAUUAAAAUCUUCCUAAUGCCCCUACUAACUAUGCCAUAUAUAGGGGCAUGUCUACUAGUGAGCAGCCAGCCAGUAGUAAAAAUACAUAAGACAAAGUAGUCCUUACUUUAUCUUAUGCUUUAAAGAAAACUAGAUCAGAAAGGAAGAAAACGAGAACAGAUUCUGAGAGAGGACGAGAAGAGAAAACAAUAGGAGAAAGAUAAGUUUGGCAUGACCGUGCCACUUUAAAUUAUGUUUCAUAUAGAUAUUUGAUGUGAAAUUAAAGCCCUAUUUAUUCUGAACAAAAUGAUAUAUAAUAAGUGUGGGUUUUACUCAAUAUGAAAGAGGUACAUUAUGGUUGAACAGACAUAUAGUCAAAUUCCAGGUUUUGUUUUGAUCACAAUUGCCUCUGUCCAAGGUGUGACGUUUGAAGAACAGCAUAAAUUAAAGCUCACUUUAACUAUUCGCUUGGUUCAACUUGGUCAAGUUUCAGCAGUUUAAUAAAAAGUUGGUUUAGCAAACAGAUGAUUUACUGUACAUUUAAUAGCUAAUUUACAAAGCAUACUUAAUGUUACUAACCAAAGAAAAGUGACAAACCAUGACUGUGUGAACACGGGGCUAGGAUUGAGCAGCAGACUUCUAUUGGCCAUGUUUAUAUGAUGUUGGAGUCAAGGAUGCAUUCAAUUUUAUAUUUUCAUGAGCAGGAAUUGACAACAAGAAAUAAACUUAAUAUGUUGACAUAUAUGCUUUCUUUUUUAGAGCAAAGAAAAUAAAAAACAAAGCUAUUAUCAAUGCCAGCCCAACCGAACGUCUUAUUAAAGAGCUGAAAGCUGAAAAUAACAAGUUAUUGUCACGAUUGGAAGGGCUCGGAAAUUCAGGGAAAAGGGUUGAACGUGAAACAAGUAAGUUAAAGUUCAUCAUCAAUUUGGAGCUGGAACAAAUUCAGAAAUGCAGUUUAGCUGUGCUAAGGCUACUGCUGUCUAUAUUGUAAGUUUGCCUUCUCUGUGUUAUGUUUCACUUCAAAUACAGAAUAGUAGGAUCAGGGAGCAGCACCUGUGAUGGAAUUCCCACGCUCAGACCGAUAUGGAGGAGGGAAGGAAGAAGACACGGAUAUAGUGUAGUAUGUUAGGAUCUUAAGGGUAUUUCUCCUUUACAUUAGCAGUGGGCCGGUAUUCGAAUAGUUGGUGAUAUAUAAAAAAGAGGAUAGAAACACAAAAUAGUGCUCUCUGGAUGAUGCAGAAUAAAAUGAUAAAAUAUGGAGGUAUACUCACAAGUGAAGAGCAAAUUGGAUAUUGCUCAAUAUGUGUAGACUUGUGAGUAUACCUCCAUCUUAUCAGUUCAUUUUGUAUCAUCCAGAGAGCAAUGUUUUGUGUUUAUAUCCUCUUUUUUUAUAUAUCACCAACUAUUUGAAUACCGGCCCACUGCUAUUGGAAAGGAGAAAUACCCUACUACCUACCCCCUUUUGAGGACAUCCAAGGACCAUCUACAUAUCCGUAGACAGGGAUUAUACCGUCCAGGCUCACAUAUCUGGAGUUGAGUAUAAGCUCCAGAAAAUUGUAAGUGCAAUUCCUUUCCCUUCAUUUAUUAUCACUUAAGAUCCUAACAUACUACACUAUAUCCGUGUCUUCUUCCUUCCCUCCUCCAUAUUGGGAAGUUUCAGCAGCCACAUACUAUAAUUAUAAGUACUGAUAUUCCACCUACCCCUCUAUUCAAAUACAGAAUAGUCUGGUACUAUAAACUGAACUUUAUUUUCUGCCCAUAAAAAGAGAUAUUUGCACUAACAUUUAGACAAAUUCAGUAUUGUACUCUAUUUAUUUUUGCCCGGUUCCAAACACCAUCUCCACUUCCUGCUUACAUUAGAUAGAUUUGUAUUUUGUUUUAGAGGAACUGCGCCGGUUGCUUACAGAAAAUGAACUGCGCAUUCAAGCAAUGCAAAUGACUUGGGAGAAUCAGCUACUGGAGGCUCGGAAGGAGUGGG
rnacentral:lncRNA from 1 species